GGGGAUGUAAUGGUUUCGACAUGUAGUAGGUAGUGUUCGCAUCAGUGGUGUAGUAGACCAUAAAUACUUCUAGGCUUUAUAGUCGCAAACAAAAACAAAAAAGCUCACGUUGGGCUACAAAAUUUAGUAAUUGCAAAUCAAUUACAAUCAAAUCUAGCUUUCGCUUAAUUCUGCGAACUAGUGCAUUAUCGUUAGAGCCUAAGAACGAUAGUGUGGUAAUUUAGGCUCGGUUUUUUCUCGUGCUUAGAAAAAACUUAAAUUGAAUGCACACUAAAAGUCAAGAGUUUUGUUUAUUUCCUUUAACUUUUAGCACUAAUAAAUAAACUAAACUGUAAAAAGUGCAAACACAUCUUGUUAUGUGGACGCGGGUUCAACUCCCGUCAUCUCCACCA
rnacentral:tmRNA from 1 species